rnacentral:tRNA from 1 species
AUAGAGAUAGCUCAGCGGUAGAGCACUUGCUUAGUACACACGAGGUCCUGGGUUCAAACCUCAGUAUCCAAA